rnacentral:rRNA from 1 species
UACGUAGGGGGCAAGCGUUGUCCGGAAUCAUUGGGCGUAAAGAGCUUGUAGGCGGCCAGAAAAGUCCGCUGUGAAAACUCGAGGCUCAACUUCGAGCUGUCGGUGGAAACUUUCUGGCUAGAGUCCGGAAGAGGAGAAUGGAAUUCCUGGUGUAGCGGUGAAAUGCGCAGAUAUCAGGAGGAACACCGAUGGCGAAGGCAGGUCUCUGGGCCACUACUGACGCUGAGAAGCGAAAGCAUGGGGAGCGAACAGG